rnacentral:rRNA from 1 species
AUUGAACGCUGGCGGCAUGCCUUACACAUGCAAGUCGAACGGUAACGGGCCUUCGGGUGCCGACGAGUGGCGAACGGGUGAGUAAUACAUCGGAACGUGCCCGAUCGUGGGGGAUAACGAGGCGAAAGCUUUGCUAAUACCGCAUACGAUCUACGGAUGAAAGCAGGGGACCGCAAGGCCUUGCGCGGACGGAGCGGCCGAUGGCAGAUUAGGUAGUUGGUGGGAUAAAAGCUUACCAAGCCGACGCUCUGUAGCUGGUCUGAGAGGAUGAUCAGCCACACUGGGACUGAGACACGGCCCAGACUCCUACGGGAGGCAGCAGUGGGGAAUUUUGGACAAUGGGCGCAAGCCUGAUCCAGCCAUGCCGCGUGCGGGAUGAAGGCCUUCGGGUUGUAAGCUGCUUUUGUACGGAACGAAAAGCCUUCUUUUAAUACAGGAGGGUCAUGACGGUACCGUAAGAAUAAGCACCGGCUAACUACGUG